GACGAACGCUGGCGGCGUGCCUAAUACAUGCAAGUAGAACGCAGUUGCGAACGGGUGAGUAACGCGUAUGUAACUGCCUGGUAGCGGGGGGGAACAAUUGUAAACGAUAGCUAAUACCGCAUACUACCAGAUGGACCUGCGUUGUAUUAGGUAGUUGGUGGGGUAACGGCUCACCAAGGGCACGAUACAUAGCCGACCUGUGAGGGUUAUCGGCCACACUGGGACUGGGACAAGGCCCAGACUCCGACGGGAGGCAGCAGUAGGGAAUCUUCGGCAAUGGAGGGAAGUCUGACCGAGCAACGCCGCGGGAGUGAAGAAGGUUUUCGGAUCGUAAAGCUCUGUUGUAAGAGAAGCGGUAUCUUACCAGAAAGGGACGGCUAACUACGUGCCAGCAGCCGCGGUAAUAC
rnacentral:rRNA from 1 species